UAGAAUGAUUAAUUAGUUGCAGAAAUAAAUGGUAUACAAAACACUCUUCAAAGGCUGGAAAAUAAACUUUGAAUUUUUCUAUACUAAAAAAAAGCACAAGUUUUUAAAUUUUUACUUUAUGUCAAAGUGGGAAAAUCUUAGAUUUGUCUCCAGUUCUAAAAAUGCCUCAUAUCAAACUUAUAGGUUACACAGUAUGUAUCGGGUAUAUAGUUACAGCUCUUCUCCUUAGAAGAAUUUGGUCCUAAAAUGUAACAAGUCAGUAAAAGAUGUUGUUAGAAAAUAUUAUCUCACAUUAAAUACAGUGCCCAUCUGGAAGCAUGCACUGUACAUGGGACUCCAUUUCUGUCCUUGAAUGGGUGCAAUGUUUUCUACUGUCUCACAAGACAGACCUUGUGGAUGGUACACUCCUGCUUGACUUGCCGUUAGCUUACUUCAGCAUUGUGAAAUACGCUCUAUGCUUGUACAGCAAUAUCUUGAGCCCUUUGUGCAGUUUGGGCACCAGAAUGCAACUAUUGUUACUGAUAACAGGAGCGGUGGGGGGUAGUGCCAGACUGUGA
rnacentral:lncRNA from 1 species